rnacentral:misc_RNA from 1 species
GUAGGUGAACCUGCGGAAGGAUCAUUAAUGAAUAACUUUGGCGUGGUUGUAGCUGGUUCUUAGGAGCAUGUGCACACCCGUCAUCUUUAUCUUUCCACCUGUGCACAACAUGUAGAUCUGGAUAACUCUCGCUCCUCUCGUAGGGGCGGAAACAGGGAUUGCUGCGUCGCAAGGCCAGCUCUCCUUGAAUUUCCAGGUCUAUGUCUUUACAAACCCCAAUUGAAUGAUGAAGAAUGUAGUCAAUGGGCUC